GAUGAACGCUGGCGGCGUGCUUAACACAUGCAAGUCGAACGGUGAAGGCGGAGCUUGCUCUGCUGGAUCAGUGGCGAACGGGUGAGUAACACGUGAGCAAUCUGCCCCUGACUCUGGGAUAAGCGCUGGAAACGGCGUCUAAUACUGGAUACGAGCUGCGAAGGCAUCUUCAGCAGCUGGAAAGAACUUCGGUCAGGGAUGAGCUCGCGGCCUAUCAGCUUGUUGGUGAGGUAACGGAUCACCAAGGCGUCGACGGGUAGCCGGCCUGAGAGGGUGACCGGCCACACUGGGACUGAGGCGCGGCCGAGGCUGCUACGGGAGGCAGCAGUGCGGAAUAUUGCACAAUGGGCGCAAGCCGGAUGCAGCAGCGCCGCGUGUUGUACGACGGCCUUCGGGUGGUAGACCUCUUGUAGCAGAGAAGAAGCGAAAGUGACGGGAACUGCAGGAAUAGCGACGGCUAACUUCCUG
rnacentral:rRNA from 1 species